AUGCCCCAUGUUCAAUCAGUUUCUGCAUCUCAUAGAUUCUACUUCAUUCAUUUCUCUUCCACAUGUUCCCAGUUGAUCUGGAAAGUCAAUAACUUGUCCAUGUCUCAUCCCUCCCUAGCCAGAUUGGAUCCAGGGAUUCCAUUUCACCAUCAGGCAGGUCAAAGUACUCAUCAUCUGCCCCUACCUGUGUCUCUCCCUCCAUCUCUCCCCCUCUCUCCCCCACUCUCUGUCUCUCUGUCUCUGUCUGUCUGUCUGUCUGUCUGUCUGUCUCUCUCUCUCUCUCUCACACACACACACACACAUACACACAGCAGGUGGAAAUAACCUAUUCAACAAUGGAGUGAGGUUUGAGAUAAAGUCUAGGUGCCCCAAUCAUGCCUCAGCUGCUCUAAUCAGCCUGGCUCCAGAUUCCAUUGACCCCUUUCCUGACCACCAGGUAGCCAUAAACUCUCACUGCCAUCUUGCUGGGGGUCUGAUAAGCAAACCAACAUGAUCUCUGCUCCUAUGAAAUCUUGACAGAGUUUCUCUAGAGGUCCUCUUAGUGCCCUUGUAUAUCUGAGAUGAAGCCCCCUUCCCUAGUGACCCCUCGAAGAUCCCUCAUCCCCACCCAUGCCAGUGUGCCAUGCCACCCUUCCCUCU
rnacentral:lncRNA from 1 species